GUAUGCUCCAAUAGGUUCUCUGUUGCUGGAGUCAGACUCCAUGAGGGCAAGCAGGCAGGAGGGCUGCUUUGCAGAAGGCCAUGUGCCCUGUGUGAGUUGAGAGAAGCUGAGCCCAGGAACAGAAACCAGGCUGUUAUCCCUAACUCUGAAGCAUUUUGCAGCAGCUACCUUCUCAAGGUGAUUAUGGAAGGUGAGGGUCCAGUCAAGUUUCACACCGAGCAGGGUAUCAAGCAAGCAGGGGGGCAGAAGACAAAACAGAAGUUAAUUUCAACUGGAUUUUUGGGACCUCUAUAAUAUGCAAGAUCAUGUGGAGAAGAAGAGACUGGAAUGAGAGAGAUCAUCCAAGCUUUCAGGAGCCACUGGAGAUUGCCAUGACGCAUCCUGUCAUGAAGGACAUCCAUAUAAGAGAUAUGAUAAAACUGGAAAAUGACUCCUCUUCCCAUCAGGGCUCGUUCACCUGCACAUCUACCAAUGUGAUAUAUGCCAUCAUGUGCCAGCAAUGCCCCUC